rnacentral:rRNA from 1 species
AUUGAACGCUGGCGGCAGGCCUAACACAUGCAAGUCGAACGGUAACAGGAAACAGCUUGCUGUUUCGCUGACGAGUGGCGGACGGGUGAGUAAUGUCUGGGAAACUGCCUGAUGGAGGGGGAUAACUACUGGAAACGGUUGCUAAUACCGCAUAACGUCGCAAGACCAAAGAGGGGGACCUUCGGGCCUCUUGCCAUCGGAUGUGCCCAGAUGGGAUUAGCUAGUAGGUGGGGUAACGGCUCACCUAGGCGACGAUCCCUAGCUGGUCUGAGAGGAUGACCAGCCACACUGGAACUGAGACACGGUCCAGACUCCUACGGGAGGCAGCAGUGGGGAAUAUUGCACAAUGGGCGCAAGCCUGAUGCAGCCAUGCCGCGUGUAUGAAGAAGGCCUUCGGGUUGUAAAGUACUUUCAGCGGGGAGGAAGGGAGUAAAGUUAAUACCAUGACUCAUUGACGUUACCCGCAGAAGAAGCACCGGCUAACUCCGUG